UUAUAGCCCUGUGACUUUAACACUUCAUGACUGAGAGCUGCUGCUCAGCAACUUCACCCACAGCAACCAUGACUUUGAUCAGCGUCUUCAUCUGCACACUGGCCCUCUGGACUCAAGGAUCCAGAGGUCAGGUGACUGUGACUCAGACUCCUUCAUUGCAAACUGUUGAUCCAGGAAAAACAGUCACCAUCAACUGUAGAACCAGUAGCAGCGUGUAUGGUGGUAGCUUUCUACACUGGUACCUGCAGAAACCUGGAGAAGCUCCUAAACUCCUGAUCUACGGGGCUACUAACUUACAGUCAGGAACUCCAGCUCGUUUCAGUGGCAGUGGAUCUAAUACUGACUUCACUCUGACCAUCAGAGGAUUCCAGACUGAAGAUGCAGGAGAUUACUACUGUCUGAGUGACCAUUAUAUCGGUAGUAGCUGGAUGUUCACACAGUGUUAGAGCGUUGUACAAAAACCUCGGUCAGUGAGAGUGCACAGAGAAGCACUGCUGCAGCUGGGAGUGACUGCAGGUGCUGAGGGGAGGAUGUGAUACAGCACAAUGACACACACUGUGGACGAGAGAAAACACACCACACUAACUCACUAAUGCACACACACAUCUGUGAGAGGAGUCCACCUUUCUCUUUAUUCUGCUCUACAUGAUUAUGUCACAGUCACACUGAUGGCCACAUAAUGCAGUCAGAUAAAACCAUAAAGUACUGACUCUACUGCUGAGACACUGAGACUCCUCUCUCAUUCUCCAGAGUCUCUGUGUGUUUCUCCAGAAGAGACUGUUAUUAUCAGCUGCAGGACCGGUGUGGAUAUUGUCUGAACCUUCAGAAGCCUGGAGAAGCUCCUAAACUCCUGAAACACCAGGUAUAUCAGCAUCAGUGUGGGAUUCCACCUGGUUUCAGUGGGAGUGGAUUAUGGGACAGAAUUUGUAAAAGUCACUUGAAUAUGCAGGAGAUCAGUACUGUCAGACACAACUCAUGCUGGUGUGCUCAACAGCUGCUCAGAGCAGGGUCGCUGAUCUUCAUUUGAUCAUUUAUUCCAUAAUCACUCCUUUUUGUUCAUUUUGAUCCCAAACUUUCUAUAAGAAAGAUAUCAAUUCUGUAUCUAAUACAGUUAGGGUUAGGAUUACACUGACGUCCAAUAACGGCUUGUACUUCUUUUAAACUCCUCACCAUUACAUCGAACACAAUAAUGGACUGAGCCUAGCUUACCUUUGUGCACUUCUCCAGUCCUACUGACCAUUCCACUCUCUUAGAGCGUUUUCAGACCUGUAGAUCUGUGAUUUGUUCUGAAAUGGGGACAUAAAUUGUUCAAACGUUUCAUUUUGUCCUUGGCUCGGUUUGCUUUCACAAGGCAAUUUAAAAUCGUCCCAAAAUGUGUUUAUGCAAAUCAGGUGUGAGGAACCGAAUUGUAAACGAAUACAGAUUGUUUUGGUGCGGAUCCGAGCAAGAUUGCAGUGUUCAUAUAUGUCUAAAUGAACCGAACCAAGGGAGAAAACACACCAGGUUCCGAUACAAACGCUCCAAAUGAGCCAGGUGUGAAAAUGCCCUUAGAUCUGCUGACUCAGGUGUACCUUCCACUGCACACACACACACACACACACACACACACACACAGCUGUAGUUCAUGAGCACUAACUCUAAAAAUGCUCAUAAUAUUUGGAACAAGACACACUUCUUUACACAACGCUGCAAUACACACACUCAAAAUUUAAAUUAGUAGUUACUGUAUGUGGUGAUGUCAUAACUGAUUUAGUCUGUAGCCACGCCCACAUCCCCAGUUUCCACCCAUGACACCCAUUCCAGCUCCCCAAGUUCUGAUCUUCUCACCUGUUACCAGUUCAUCUCAUUUACUAUAGUGUGUGUACCGCUCUGUUAGUUUCUCUCAUUGCUAAGUCUUAUAAUGUGUAUUAUCCUUGCUCUGGUUUUGAGAGUCUUGCUCUCUUUGUUUCUUUUAAGCAUCCUAGAGGCAGCCUUUAUUUUGUCACCUUUACAUUCAAUUAAAAAUAUUUUAUUCACAUAUAUGAGCUUGUUAGAAGGCUGGAUUCAGAGCACAGGGUCAGCCAUGAUACAGCACCCCUGGAUGAGAGAGCAUUAAGGGCCUUGCUCAAGGGCCCAUCAAUGACAUCUUGGUGGUCGAGGCUUGAACCUCCCACCAUCUGAUUUGAACAGUAAACCAAAUAUAAAAUCAUUAAAACUAUUUAUAGACACUAUUACUGAGAGAGAGAGAGAGAGAGAGAGAGAGAG